GGAUAUUACAAUUGUCAGUCUUUUGAUAUUUUUGUGUAAGAGGAGUUGUUUACUCAAAGCGUUAGUCUGCUUCUAAUUCCCUUGCUUGCGUUCUGACUUUCUAGUCCCAUUUACAGCUUCAGUGGUAUGUAGCAUGAGGGCGUGUUGGUUUUCUAGUUGUUUUUGUUGCCGUUUUCUAUAAAUUGCUUGAAGCUUGUUGAGGUCAGCUUGUUGCACUCGCUGACUCGGGCACUGCUCUCCCUGGGCAGCUCUUCUUCACCCAGCACUAUUUUCCAGUCGUAAAACUGCAAACCUGCAAAUAAUAAGGAGCCAUUUCUGGAUCUAAAUUUAGCACUACUGUGGCUUAACGCUAAGACUGGAGCAAUUAAAUGUUCAGUCUUUGCUAAAUAAAAAAUAAAAUAUAUCUUAUUACACAUGGAUCUCAUUUCACUUAACAACAAAAUCCUCCGAGUAAUGUAUAAACUAGAGAGAGCUCUGUGAGCGCUCAUCAUUCCCAGCUGUUAGCCACCUUGUUUUACAUAAACAGCCAUGGCAGCUUACAAAGCUUCCAAAAUUAGAGCUGAAAUUUAUCCAAAAGUGGAUAAACUGGGACCGUAUGCCUACUUGCAGCACUGCUGUGAUGUGGAUGUAUACAUCUUUAUUUAUAGCGACACUGUAAAAAGAUUCUGAAUUUAGGCAUUGAACAGUUGAUUCUGAUUCCACCUCUAAUCCGCUUCUUUUGGCACUGGGAAAUGCUGGUUUUCGAAGGAGAGACCAUCAAUAAUGGGAGCCAGGACAGCGGCCGGGGUGCUGCCCUGCAGGUGGGAGACCUGCUUCAUCCUGCUGGAAGAAAAAGCUGAAUGGAGGCCCGCUAAAAUAGCCUACCUUGUAAAGGACAGGACAUUCUCAUAUUCCUUACAUCUUUUGUCAACACAGAAAACAAACAGCUUAGCAAGAAGCAGCGUGUUUUUAACAAUGAAAUUUUCUUUGCAGACACUAUCUGGGUUACACCAUCUCAGCUGAAGAGAUGUGAUUAAUCUUGUUUGAGGUUAACUAGGUGAUGCAAAACACUGGCUCUGUGUUUUGUUCAAACUGCAGUCUAUUUUGUUUCCUCCCCAAAGGCCGUAUUUGUUAAACUGAGUGUGCAGAGGGACAUUAAACAAUCAAAUAUGUUUGUUAAAUCUGGAUGUGGGCACUGUCUUUAUCAUAUUAUUUGUGUGUAACACAGUCAACAUGCAGUCCUUUUGAUGACUAUUUAAUCCAAGUUAAUGAAACUCUCUGUAAGUGCCUAAAUGGCAUUAGUUAGAUUCUGAGCUAGAAAGUCUCCGUGGCUUAUAAAACCAAUCCCUUUUACAACUCCUGCAGGUGAACACAGUCAGGAGCACAGUGCUGGGCAAGCUGAAGGUUAGAGAGGAGAAAAAUUUGUACCACCUCAAAUGUUCACGUUUUUGAAAAUAAGCAUUUCAUCUGAACUGGAGACAAAAAGUCAGUCUUUGCUAUUUCAUGGUGGGGGAAAGUUUAAACAAAACCAUUUCUUGGAGGAACCUGAUAUCAGUGCUGGGUGGAACUACUAGGGGAUUUAAUUAGACAUUCUUAAUGAAAAAAAGCAAAAUAUUAUUUUUUUUCAGCUGAAAAAAAAUCAUAUUCUUUAUUUAAGGAUAGUAUUUUCUUUAUAGUAUUCAGUGUUAGAGUAUAGGCCUUUCUGUGAAAAGAAGCAAGGUAAUGAACGUGUUUCAGAUACAGUAAAAGACACGUGAUAAUUGAGGAGACAGAAAGCACUGCCUGAGCACAUCCACUUAUUCAAGUCCGAGGGCACUGCAUCUGAGUAAGAGCUGCCACCUCAUACAUUUUCUCUUCACUGUAUUGACAAAAACAAUUCCAAAGUUUGUAGAGGUAAGCUCUCUGAAGCUAGAGAAGGCCGGAAGGAAGGUUUCCUGUGCAAUAUUAGUAAUCCCACUGUAUAUAUCCAGUGGCAUCCUGAUCUACUCCCAGUGUGAAGGGAGAGACAAAUAAAUGAAUAGUUGGGUGAUAUUUGUCUGGUUUCAUCAAGCCCUGGAAAUUCCCUCCUGGCUGGUUAUGGAGUGCACUGGAGAGGUCAGGCUGUGGCCAGGACUGGACUGGGGGUGCCGACUGUCGCAGAGCUAGCCUGGGAAAGAGGCACAGGCGAGCAGCUCAACAGAUUAGUCAUUCACUUAAUGCUAAGCAUUGCAAAAUAACGUCUCAGGCCUCCAACUGAAGUGCAUUAGUUGUAGGCAGGUACAUUGUUCUCCUGGAACAUUUUUCUCAUCAGUUAUUUGUUCAGCAUUCAGACAGAUCUUCGGAAGACAGCAGAUCAGAGCAGCUUCAACGCAUGCUAAACAAGUAAAACUCCCCAGAAAUCAGUGGAGCUAUGUUCUGCUGUUGUUCCAGCAGUAGGCUUGCUCAUAGCAGUUACUGCCACAGCAGACAAGGGUGACAGCGUUUGGUUCCGCUCCACGUCGCAGCCUUCAGCUGGGAGCUGUGAUGAGACCUCUACUUGAAAGUACUCCGUGUUUUCCUCAUUGCAUAAAGAUGCUCUCCAAGGACUGACUGAAGCAUCAUUGACAAAUGAGAGCAAGAAACAUUCAUUAAGGUUCAGAUUAGAUUUUCCCACUUGCACAGGAGUGGCCAAAUGUUUCUUGAGACCACCUGUGGAUGCUUCCUUUGCUUUCCUCAGGUGCAACCCUGCCAACCGGUGUUUCUUCCUAGGCUGGUGGCUUCUUCUCAGAGAUGAGCAGCAAUCACAUAGCAGCUUUCCAACCAAAGCUGUUAUUUGAAGACUGAGACAGCAUUCCUGGCAAGACCAGAACUUAGGGGAUAAGUUGGUUCAGAUCAGAUCUUUGGAAUAUACUUGAACAUGUCAGAUAAAUUAAAAGAAGAAAAAGAAAGAAGAACAAAAAUUAUCUUGAGGAAAUUACUCCCUGCCGUGUCCUAUGCUAAUAUCCACUAAAAGCUAAUGUCCAAUAUAUUAAUUAUCAUCUGCUUCCUAUGGGUACAAGAUAAGAGGAUAUUUUCCUCCAUUUAUUAUGCCAUGAUUAUGGAAUUAUUCCACCCUUGCAUGCUGUAUUGUGUUUCUUUAUUUCAGACAAAUGCCAGUGUUGUAAUCGUGUAGAGUAAGCGGUUAUGCGAGAUGAAUUUCACAUCUGUGGACAAACCUCUGAGAAGUACAGUGCACUGCAGGGGAAGAGGAGCUGUUAGUUCUGAGAAGAGAUUCCAUUUUAAAAAAUCAUACAUGCCCGGAAGCCAAAUUAGGAGAACAAUUGUACAAGCAGAUUAAGUUACAAAAGAAAAAACGGCCACUAAAACCUCCCAGGGCUUUCAGCGUCUAGGCCCGCCUGGGGUGGCUCUUCCAGCAUCAUUCAGUGAAGGGUCCAUUCGAAGAUGCUCAGCUCAAGCAGCCGUUGUUUUCUCAUUCUUUCCAUAACUCAUUCAGAAGUAGCCCCAAGUUUAUUCAAGGCACUGUGUUUACUGUGAUGGGGAAGAAGAUUAGGCAGUCAAAAAUCACAAAAGAUGCCUGAGUCUGAAAGCCCAAACUUCUGUAACUAGUCUAAAAUUGGGCCAACACUGGGACUCGGCAGCAGGGAGGACCCUCAGCAUUGCUGUUGACUGCUUGUUGCCUGGAUUUGUUGAAAGCUGCUCUGACAGCAGAGAACUGCCUGCAGUGGUAAACUGCAUGUUGCAGCUCACAAAGGGAUUUCUUUCUGAAUAAAUGUCAGACCAUCACCUCCAAAUCAAAUGUCAGAUCAUGUCUAUCUUUGGUCUGUCUUUGCUGGACAUCGGCAAAGUACUGGUGGGGUUAGUGGUUUGUGGAUUUUUGCACUUUAUGAUUAAUGUCAGCUGAAGGGAGAAUGUGAACAGUGUAAAUAAGCGUGUUGUCUUGGAAUGUGUAAAGAAAAUGACAUGGAUUUCCAUUUACUCUUGAACCUGAAAGAGAAAUUCAGAGACUGGGGGUGGGGGGGAAGAGCAAAUGGAACCAGGAUGAACACACCCCAGUCUCCCUGGUGUCUAAUGUGCUGUGUGUUUUGGGAAACCAGUGAAUCAGAUUUGCAAUGCUUUCUCCUGAGCAGACAAGGGAGAGUCACUCUCGCCCACUGCCUUGGCUGUGUGGUCCUCAGUGGCUAAAAUAUUUUAAGUGCCAGCUCUUGGGGGUAAGUUAAAAUGUGUUUGUAAUCAGGGCUGUAACCUCGCAGCUCAUUUUAAAUGUGUUCAAAGUACGAAAACAUGAGUGUAGACAUGCAGAAAAUACUGUGUAAACUGAAUAUUAGCUUGUUUUUUAAUAUGUAACAGCAUUUUUGUUAUUGACAUUAACUACUGAUGGCUUGGCACCAAUUUCUUAGUACCAUGCUUGUGUUGCUGCUGCUAAGAAGUAAGGACGUUGUUUCAGUCACUACUAUGACUUUAGCUGCCUUUACUAUGGCCUGCAAUAUUAAUGCUUAAUUUUUUUUUAAUAGUUCAAAUUAGAAAAAAAAAAUAGAAAUGCGAAUAGAAUUGGUAUCUAGUUUUCCUGGUUUCCCUUUAUAUGAAGAACGUAUCAUAAUUGUAUUUUUCUUAUGUAUUUCACAGAGAAAGGACAGAUAUUGGGGACUGGGUGAAGAAUCAACACAAGAAAAGCCUUUGAUACA